GGGUCGCUAGCUCAGCUGGUAGAGCAGAUCCCUCUUAAGGAUAAGGUCGUGGGUUCGAUCCCCACGCGACCCA
rnacentral:tRNA from 2 species